rnacentral:lncRNA from 1 species
CCCAAAUCAAACCCAAAUCAAAUUCAAUUAAUUCCAACAAUCCCCCACAUGAAUGGAAGAAGUCGACUCAAAUCAAGGAAGAAGAAAGAAGAGUACUAUCUGAAAGAUAACGCAUCAAGAUAGGUAGCUUUCGCUUUGAACCUUCUUUAGUAAGAAUCUAUCGAACUCACUUGGCUAAUCAGUGAACGCAACGUUUUGAACUGUCAGCCGUUAUUGCAAGCUCAGACAACAGACCAAACACAUUAUCUCUCAUAUCAAACUUGGUUCUCUAUUGUGUUCAUUAUUUCGGCCCUGAACUACUUGGGUUCUGCGAGUGCUUUAGAGAAUUCGCCUAAGUAAAUUCUCAUAGAACCGGCCAAGUUCGCACUAACAUAGGUGAUGCACUAUAAAGAGUACCCCACUAGUAUAACAGUUGCCUUUGAACCGUUUUGCAUUGUUGACUUUUUCUUUGUCCAUAGAUGAGCCAGAACGCUUCCUUUUCUUGUUCUUAGACCCCGAGUCUUCUACCAUGUUAGCCUUUGCUUCCAUGUUGCGGACAUUAUUCUUCUUUUCUGCAGCCCGGUUGUCUUCUUCAAUGCGAAGUCGAACAAUUAGAUUCUCCAUCGUCAUCUCUUUGCGUUUAUGCUUGAGAUAAUUUUUGAAAUCUUUCCAUAGUGGAGGUAGUUUCUCGAUCAUAGCAGCUAUUUGGAAAGAUUCACUUAAAGUCAUACCUUCAGCUUCAAUAUCGUGAAGUAGAACUUGUAUCUCUUGAACCUGACUCAUAACUGUCUUUGAAUCAGUCAUCUUGAAAUCUAGAAAUUUGCCGACAAUGAAUUUCUUCGUUCCGGCAUCUUCGGUUUUGUAUUUUUUGUCAAGAGACUCCCACAGUUCUUUAGCCGUCUUGUAAUUACAAUACACACUAUAUAAAGUGUUAUCUAAUCCAUUGAGAAUGUAAUUACGGCAUAAGAAAUCCGCAUGUUUCCAUGCUUCAAUAGCUAACUGAGUAUUUUUAUCAGUAGCAUUCUCCGAUGUUUGUGCAGGACAUUCUUCACGCAGAAAUUUUACUAAGUUCAAUGUUGUCAAAUAGAAUAGCAUCUUCUGUUGCCAACGUUUGAAAUCCGUGCCAUUGAACUUUUCCGGUUUCUCAUAUUGUGAAGCCGGCGGCAUGACAAAUUGAUUGGAACCUGAAUUUGGCGCAAUCACCGCAUUAGUAUUGCUCUCAAUAGUACCAAUCACAGCGCUAGUAUUAUUAUUUGAUGUACUAGCCAUUUUCUGUAAAACCACAAUUACAGAAAAUAAUCAAUAAUAGAAAUGUAGAAGAAAUGAAAAAAUAAAAAUUCUGUCUUAAGAUUGUUGUCGGAAAUUCGACUAACGCAAUCAAAAGAAGAAAUAAAAUAAGCAGAAAAAUAGACAGUAAAUGAAGCGAGGUAUGCCAAUAAAGUAAGCAAAUCUCCUUAAGACAGAUUUCGCCCCCCAAUGAAGUGCAAACGGGAUUAUGGACGUCUGUCUCCCAAGAUACAACGCUCCUUCCAAAGUCGAUACUGCACAAUACCAACCUUGUCGGUCGAACCAAUGAAUGAUCGUACUUGAACGGAAUAACGACGGAAGUAUAAGAGAUUUUUUACGAGCAGAAUAUGGAGAUAGAAGAAUUUAGAAAUCAAUUGAAUUCGUAAUUGAUUUGGUGUGUCAAAAAACGAAUCUGGGGGUCCCUAUUUAUAGAGAUUGAAGUGUCUCAUGGAACAGGUGUGUGACAUUUCAGGAACUGGUGCACCACUUGGUCUGAUUGGUGAAUAGCCAUUG